rnacentral:rRNA from 1 species
GACGAACGCUGGCGGCGUGCCCAAUACAUGCAAGUAGAACGCUGAAGGAGGAGCUUGCUUCUCUGGAUGAGUUGCGAACGGGUGAGUAACGCGUAGGUAACCUGCCUGGUAGCGGGGGAUAACUAUUGGAAACGAUAGCUAAUACCGCAUAAUAGUAGAUGUUGCAUGACAUUUGCUUAAAAGGUGCAAUUGCAUCACUACCAGAUGGACCUGCGUUGUAUUAGCUAGUUGGUGGGGUAACGGCUCACCAAGGCGACGAUACAUAGCCGACCUGAGAGGGGGAUCGGCCACACUGGGACUGAGACACGGCCCAGACUCCUACGGGAGGCAGCAGUAGGGAAUCUUCGGCAAUAGACGGAAGUCUGACCGAGCAACGCCGCGUGAGUGAAGAAGGUUUUCGGAUCGUAAAGCUCUGUUGUAAGAGAAGAACGAGUGUGAGAGUGGAAAGUUCACACUGUGACGGUAUCUUACCAGAAAGGGACGGCUAACUACGUG